GACGAACGCUGGCGGCGUGCUUAACACAUGCAAGUCGAACGGAAAGGCCCUGCUCUUGUGGGGUUCUCGAGUGGCGAACGGGUGAGUAACACGUGUGUAACCUCCCCUUGACUUUGGGGUAACUUCAGGGAACUGGGGCUCAUACCGCAUAGGAUAUCCUGCUGCAUGUUGGGGGUUGGAAAGUUUCGGCGGUUGGGGAUGGAUUGGCGGCUUAUCCGCUUGUUUGUGGGGUAGUGGCUUACCAGGGCUUUGACGGGUAGCCGGCCUGAGAGGGUGAACGGCGACAUUGGGACUGAGAUACGGCGCAGACUCCUACGGGAGGCAGCAGUGGGGAAUAUUGCACAAUGGGCGGACGCCUGAUGCAGAAACGCCGCGUGCGGGAUAACGGCCUUCGGGUUGUAAACCGCUUUCGCAGGUGACGAAGCGUGAGUGACGGUAAUGGGUAAAGAAGCACCGGCUAACUACGUG
rnacentral:rRNA from 1 species